AUUUUUAAAAACAGCUGUAAUCUGCGGUCAUUGAUGGUGGAGUAGAUUGUUUGCCAAACUAUUACCAUAACUGUCAACCGAAAUCAGAAAAAUAAUCUCAUUGUGCUGGACAGAUGCGUUUCCUGCAUUAUUGAUAUAGUCACUCUGGAGUAAUAGAGAAAUAUAAAGCAUUGUUCUAUUUACAAAAGGAGAUUGGCCAAGUCCUUGAAAGAUCCCCUGAAAUGCUGGGCACACUGACUAGCCUCUUGUAUAGAGUCUCAAGCCUGUGGCCAGAAGCAGCUGUGUGAAGUAGCCGCUGUGAUGGAUUGGGACCACAGAUACCACUUUGGAAGGAAAGGUUCCAGAAACCAAAGCUUGGGCCAUGGGUCUCUGGGAAACUGCAGCAGGAGUUUAGAGUCUAAUGGAUGGAACACAGAAGCAGGAAAAAAAUUGCUGUAGAAUAUGAUAAAGAUUAAUAGAGCUUUAAAGGAAUGUGGAACUGAAGCAAAG
rnacentral:lncRNA from 10 species